ACAAAAAGAACCACAAAGGCAAAGUCACUACUAGUAUGGUUUGGCUUCUCUGUCUUCGUCUUCAAGCACAACCUUUCGAUAUUCAUCUAACUUACAAAUCUUACACUUGGUUUAACCUUUCUGAGAGUUCUACUCCCACAAAAAUUGAUAGGUUUCUUGUCUCUCCUAAUUUGGAGAUGGUUUACCCAAGAGCCCAUUCCUAUAUCCUACCCCAGCCUAUCUUUGACAUACCCCUAUCCUCCUCAACAUAAAAUCUGUAGCAAACAGGCCUAGACCUUUUCAAUUCAUGCUUAUGUGGCUUGAGGACAAAGAACUACACUUACCGAUUCGCAGUGAUCUGCUUUCAUGGUUUAUGAUGGGCUGGUUAUCGACUAUUUAAAAAGUCGCAAGUUCUCGCAGACAAAUUCAAGCAAUGAAAAAGAGAGUAAUUCGGUCACGUGAUCUGGAAGAAGGAAAUGCUGCUCGCUGAAAUCAACAGCCUGGAUCUUUGUUUGAGGUUGCAAGUACUAGGCAAACGACUGAAAAGACGUGUUUAUUUGCGGUCCUGAAGAUCUCUUGGCUUCAUUGGAUUAGGAUCUCAAUGAAGGUUAUUGGGAUACCAUUGUAUUUCACAAAAUGGCAAAUUGCCACAGAAAUAACACUAUUCCUCAUAUUAGAGAAACAUAUGAACCUUUCGACAAGCCUUGAAAAGUCAAGCAAAUCGUUAACUUCUUACAGAGAGACUCUAUGGGAGAUCACUCAUUGAGACCCAGACUGCAUGAUCUCGAUCUCAAAACUCUCGCGGUAUUAUCUGUCAAUGGGUUACAAACUUAGAAUGCCCCGGUUCAGAGCCAGAAGUUCUGAAAGCCCCAGCUAAACUAGGCCAUGAUAAAGCUCCUAGACUCAAUGGUUUCUCAUAGCCCUUUACCACCGUUUCUGGACAGCCUAGCCCCUAAAGCCAUGGCUAUAUUUGCCAAAUUCCGUCCAAUAGAAAUGAUCUACAGAGCAUGCACUUCAUAUUCAUUGCCUUAUCCCUUAGCUUGAAGGAGCUGGUGGACUGAAAGACUUCUAGCUUAUCAACCUCAUAAACAACUCCUGCAAGCUAUUAGUCAAAGUGCAAGCGUCCUGACCUCACUGCAAGGCACAUUUCCAACGUAAUAUUUGAUGUCAUUCUGGACUGCAUCCAUGCCAAAGACCUAAUUCGUAAGCCAGGCUUAAUCUUUGAGCUUGAUUUUGUAAAGGCCUAUGACCAUGCAGACUGGCAGCUCCUAGAUCAACCCACGGCCCUGAUGGGUUUUGGCCAAAUAUGGUGCCCUGAUGGGUUUUGGCCAAAUAUGUUGCUCUUGGAUCAUGGGAUGCAUCUACUAUGCAUAUUUCAUGAUCCUCAUCAAUUGAAGUCCACAUGACUUCUUCCCCUAUGUGCCGAGGAGACCCCUUGGCUCCCUUUCUCUUUUCCGUCGUCGUGGAAAUUCAGGCAUGCUCAAUGGCUUCGCCACCUAUAGGACUGGCUCAUCCAUAUUUCACCUAUAAUACAGAGAUGACACCCUUGUCUUCUGCAACCCCACGCCAUAGCAAGUCGAAAUAUCUGUGGUUGUUCAUCCAGUGUUUCAAAUUUGCAACAUGGUAAAUCGACCAUAUGUGGCUGUUCAUUCAGUAUUUCUAAUUUGCAAGAGGGCUUAAAGAUAACAUGGCUAAAACUAAACUCAGGGAUAGGCGUCUCUAAGGGCUCGUUUGGUUCAUGUGAAAACUUGCAUCAUGAAACUGGUUGCAUAUGAAACCUAUAGUUACACAUGUUUGGUUCAUGUGUAUAGUCGAUGAAAACCUUUUUCACUGGAAAUGGUUUUACCACCACAAGGAGGAAAUCCAUGAAAUGUAAUCCCCACCCCACAAGGUGGGGAGUAAUUCACUGGGGAACCAUUUCACCCACGCGGACGCAGAAAAAUUUUCGGCCACAAAAAAAAGACGGACACAAAGCCCUCUUCUCACAAAACCCUCGCCCCUCUUUCAGCCCCGAGAGAAAUCCUUGCCCCUCUUUCGCAACCCUCUGGGUCUUGCUUCUUCCACAAUCCUUUGCGAGGAUCCAUUUGCAAGCAUUCAUCUUCUUCAACAAGGUUUUGUAGCUGGUUUUGUUGUAUGGGUUGCGUAAACAAGCACAAUUUUGCUCUGUAGAAAUGUGUUGCUCUUUGUUUUUUGUCUUGUUGGUUUUGUUGCUGGUUUUGUAGUAUAGGUUGAACAUUCAAGGACAAUUUUCUUUGAAGAAAUUUGUUGCCCUUUUUUUUUAUUUCUUUCUGCUUUUUCUUACUAAUUAUGUUGCUGGUUUUGUUGUAUAGGUUGAACAUACAAGGACAAUUUUCUUUGAAGAAAUUUGUUGCCCUUUUUUUUUAUUUCUUUCUGCUUUUUCUUACUAAUUAUGUUGCUGGUUUUGUGGCCGGUUUUGUUGUUUGGGUUGUAGUGCAUGCAAGCACAAUUUGCUCUGUAGAAAUUUGUGGCUGUUUUUUUCUUUGUUAUUUUUUGCUGGUUAUGUUGCUGGUUUUGUUGUGUUGGUUGUGCUAACAAGCAUAAUUUGCUCCGUAGAAAUAUGGGUUGCACAUACAAACACAAUUUGCUCUGUAGAAAUUUGUUGUUUUUUUUUCAAUUUCUUGCUGGUUUUUAAAAAUGUGGGUUUGGCUUAUCAAAUGCUUCCUAACUAUUGUUUUGUUUCCUCAAUCCCUUGAAAAGAUACAUAUUACACCCAAAAAAAAAUUACAUCAUUUUUAUAAUAUGUCAAAGAGGCCUCUUAGACUCACAGGGCUGCUCACUGGUGCAACCAUUUCCAUGGUAAUUCCCAACCAUUCCUUAACAUUUCAGCCACUUCUCUCAUGAACGGACUUCUCACUUCCUCUUUCAACAAGCACACUCUCACCACCUCUGCAAUCACAUAAAACCUCCUCCUUCAUCACAUCACCAACCACCUCAUCUAACAGCUCCAUAGAGCCUUUUAACAAUCCCCACCUCUCUAGUGCAUCUGCCUACUGAUUUUGCUAUGUUUAUAGCAUUCAUUUUUUAAUCUCUUUUGCUAUGCUGAGUUAUUUUGUAUCAGGCUAUUAUUCUUUGGCAAUUAUGUGGUUUUGAGCUUACAAUCUCUUUGUUUUGGGCAUAUAAACACAAUUGAAGGUGAGUUUUUCCAUUCAUUUUCAAACUCAGCUUACCUAUUGAGAAACAAGUGCCUUGAGAAAUUUUUGUGCAAACUACCAUGACAAACAUAAACAUUUUUCCCAAGAAAGCAGAUUAUUUCUUUAAUGGAACUACUUUCGUACCCAUUAAUAUAAAUUGUGUCUGGAGCUGUAUUAGACCUGAGUGUAGAUGCUUUUAACUAGGAAUUGGUUUUUACCGAUGGUACUGUUAAAUAACAAUCUGGGUUGAAAUUUUUAGUGUCUUGCUUUUAGAAACCCAAGUUCUAUUUGUGCUUUCUUUAGGUUGCUAUUACUAUGGCUUUGCUUCUGGUUUGAAAAACGCUCGUAGGUGUCUUUAUGUUAGGCUCUAUGAUAGAUGUCUAAACUUCCAUCUUAAUGUGACAUGAUUAGUCAUGUGCUGGAUUUCUUUUAUUUUGCAGGAGAGGAAGUUUCUUUGUUUACUUGACACAUAAGCAAAAUGUGUAAGAUUUUAUCUAGAAGCAUUAAUAAGAUAGAGACUUGAGGGGUGCCUAUAGUGAUGGUCUCAGUAGUACUAUUAUAAUCUAAGUUGACAUUACUCUCAUUUGCAUAUUUGUGCUAGUCACAUACCACGAUCGAUGAAAGUAGGGUUCCUUUAAAGCCUUGAGGAGAACUCAAAUGCUCUAUUUUGACUUCAAAGUAGGGUUCCUUUAAAAUAGCUUACAUCCCAGGGUGUGCAUCUUACACUGAACAAUGAGGGGCUAAUUUAGAUCGUUUGUAAACCUAUGUAAUCUUGACAGGAUGUUGUUAAGGCUAAGUUCUCCUCGAGGCUUCCCUUACCUUGAAUAUAAUAAACAGAUUUUCAAGUCAUUAAUUAAUCAUGAAACUAAGUAUUUAGAUCCAUAAAUGAGAGUUUGAGAGUUUUUCUCUUUUUAGGGCCUUGAUUCAAUGUGAGGGUAACCCUGGCUCAGGGUUAUCCAGUGGGCAAUGGGUUAUAGGCUACUAUUGGUUCACUUGUUUCAAGGGGCAUUUCAUUCAUAUGAAACAUUUAUGUAUCACGAUGUGCAUCGUUUAAAUUCAAGGUCCACAACACCAUACUGCUGGAGCAUUUUUUCUUUGUUGGCCAUAAAUUGGGUGUGGGAAAUGUCUUUAGUUUCUUUGUUCACAUAAAAGCACAAUUCGCUCUGUAGAAAUCUGUUGCUUUUUUCUUUUUUUUUUAAUUUCUUGCUGGUUUUUCUUGUUGGUUAUGUUACUGGUUUUGUUGUAUUGGUUGCGUAUACAAGCACAAUUUGCUCUGUAGAAAUAAGGGUUGUGUAUACAAGCUCAAUUUGCUCUGUAGAAUUUGUUCCUUUUUUUUCAAUUUCUUGCUGGUUUCUAGAAAUGUGGUUUUUAAGUGAAUCAACACAAAUCACACAUCUGUUGAUGCACAAAACUGUGGUGACAAAAGUCUAUUACUUGUUGAGACAGAAGAACAAGAUGCCCUUGUGGACCUACUAAUAUUUCAUUCAAGAAACUCAUGAGUCCAAACCAAACUACAGGGCUGUCAUGUCCUCUCCACCAACUGGUCGUAUCAGUUUCCUUGUUGGGCUCAACAGAGGCUCAGUUGGUGAAUAGGCUAUGACAAAAAUGAACUUCCCAACAGGAAGCUUUGGGUACCAUGACAUUACUAUUCUCAAUAUUAAUAAAAAACCGAAGGCAGAGAGAGAGGGCCCAAGAAAAGCCAUUGGCAGUUUGGCUGUUGAUGGGUCCAAUCUGCUACAAAUGGUAUGAGCCUUUGUAUUUCACUUGAUACAUGUUGUCCAAAAGCACAGCCUAAGGGAGUUGUAAGCCGAUAAGAGGCAACAGGUGUUCUGUGUACCCAAUUUUUUAAUUGGUUUGCUUCUUUUUGAAUCCUUGAUUCCUGCUAUGCAAAAAGAUGGAAUCUGAGUUGUUUGGGAUUGUGGGGUGUGUAAUUCAAGAUUGUUUUUUUAUGUACUAUUAUCUUUGGUUCCAUUGAUGUUAAACAUCAACGACAAGCUGAUUAAAAUUAAAACUCUUCAGAACUUGAAUAUCUAGAUUUCCAAGUUGUUCUUCUGUGACCUGAAAAAGUAGUCAUUCACUUUAAGAGAAUGUAAAGCUAACUCUCCAUAUCAAAGUCUUUUAGUCUUUCUUUUAACGUUUUUCUUCUUGAGUCUGGGUAUACUGGGUUCUUGAUAUAGGUUCCAAGUGUUUUAAUGGAAAUCAUUUAUUUUAAUAUUGUUUAUGUUUUAAUUGAGUCUGCGCAUUUUUGGGUUACUGAUAUUCAAUGAUAGAAGGUUUUUGGGGGCUGAUAUUUAUUUUUAUUUACUUUUUAAUUGUGAUUUUAGGGGUUUUAUUAUUGUGGGUUCUUGGAUAGGCUGGAAACAGCAGGGAUUGAUCGUCAGUAAUUCACAAAUAAAACAUGGUCAUGGAGGCUAUUAAUUUUUUAAAUUCUUUUGUGACCCCUGUUUUUUUAAUUUGGGAACUAUUCAUUCCUUUGAGUACAGUGUGGAAUUAUAUGGGCUUUGAGUACUGUAGACCCUCUAAUCAUUGAAGCAAAUAAAAUUCAAUUCCAUUCUCUGGCCCCAAAACACCAUGAUUUCUCAGCAAUUUUGACAUUUUCUGCCAAGAAUAAUCUGCUCCAAAUUUAUUAUUAUUCCAUUGUAGUAGUUUACCAAGAAUAAUAAACUGGUUUUUCUAAUAUUAUAAGGUCUACAUAUAAUUGCUGAUAUUUUUUCAUUAAUCUUACAAGAUAGAGACUUAAAUUUAUUAUUAUUCCAUUAUAGUGGUUUACCAAGAAUAAUAAACUGGUCUUUCUAAUAUUAUAAGGUCUACAUAUAAUUGCUGAUAUUUUUUCAUUAAUCUUACAAGAUAGAGAUUUUAAAAAAAAUGCAUGGAUUAGUUUAUCAAGGCUUGAUGCUUAUAUAAUUUAAUAAAGUGAAUCAAACUUAUGAUCUAAACAAUCCAUUUUUUUAAAGAUAAUACAAAUUAAAUGUUUUAAAAAAAUAAUUGUAUUGGGAUGGAUGUCGAUAUCAAAUCGCCUAUAUUUGCAAUUGAAUGGUUAAAAAUAGGUAUUAAUCUAGAUUCUAGGAAAUAGUUUACCCAUGAGUUACCAAACUUAAGAAACUGGUUACACAGGAAUUUGGGAAACUGGUUACCCAUGUGAACCAAACAUGAAAAAAAAAUGGAUUGGAAACCUAUUGCAUAGGAAACAGUUUGCCUAUGAAAACGUUUUCUAUAUGCAAACUGUUACACGCGAACCAAACGAGCCCUAAGAUCAAUCUUCUAGCCAAAAGAAUGGAAUGUCAUAGGGAUACUAUCCAGCAAAUACCUAUGCCUCCUACUGUGCAUAGGCAAGCGGGCAAAGCCCUAUGGGAUAGACUAGCAGAGAGAUUCUAACACACAUUAGUGGUCUGGAAACAGAAUUUUUGUCCCUCAGUGACCGGUGGGAUAGACUAGCAGAGAGAUUCUAACAUAGAUUAGUGGCCUGGAGACGGAAUUUUUGUUCCUCAGUGACCGUAUCAUCUUGAUCAAGUCCAACUCUCCAAUAUCUCCAUCUUUCAGAUGUCUACUUUUACAAUCCUUGCAUCAAUUGAACGUAAGUAAGAAUGCAUGGUGAGAUGUUUCUUUUGGAGUUGCACUCGUGACUCCCAUAAAUGCUAUCUAAUGAAAUGUAACAUAGUUUGUCUAUCCAAGUCCUAGGGUGGAUCAGAACAGUUAGGGAAUGCAACACCGUGUUAAUAUGGGCGAAUGGCUAUGGUGCUACAACAUAGAAAAUGAUCACCUACAGAAAAUGGUGAUGAAACACAGAUAUCUCUGAAGUUGCUUGUGUGCUACCCAGAGGGAGAGCUAGUACUCGAGCCCUUGAAAGCUAACAAUACUAGUUUCUUGGCUUCCUCAAACAAUAUUUGACAUGGAACAAAAAUGAGAAGCAUGUAUGUUUUCUGAAGGAUCUUUGGUUAGAUUCCUGACCUUGGAGCUGGACUUCCGAAUAGCUGCCGAUAAGGAAGUGACUCUCUCAUGUUACCAUGAGCAACUAAGAGGCCAGACCAUAUGGACACCUAGUUACUUUAGGUAAUCGCAUUGCGAGACAAAUGUCCUGGUGGACAACUUAGCCAAAGAAAGGACAUCCAGAUCAGGUCUCUGCACUUCCAUAGCUUUCUCCAAAGGAAAUAUUUUACACACACUAACUUUUUUGUAUGCAAAAUUACACUACCACCAUUUUGUAAAACACAUACACGGAAAAAUCAACAUCUUUACCCAAACUAAUACAAAGAAUCUAUGCAUUCAAAUUUGAGUUGCCUUCACCCUUCCCAUUUGCCCCUUCAAGCAGGCACCCUUCGCUUUCAAUUGCAAUUAGUUUUGUGUUUUUUAUUUCUUUCUUUAUUUAUUUGAGAUGCUCCACACUUCCAGGUAUGUGAGAGCAAACAUGUUUUUAGUAUUUGUCUUUACAGAAACAAUCACAAGGUUUAACUGUCAAAAAGAAUAAUGAUCGCAUAGGUUGAUGGUCCAUAACAUAAUUUGGGUCCAUCACGCUGCCCACCAGUGGUGUAGUGGUCAGGGUUAUCACAACCAUCAAAUGGCUAUCAAAAAAUUUGGACUGCAAUGAUACUAUAUCAAUCCCCAUCAUUUUUCAUAAACUAAAAUCUAAAAUCAUUUGAGAUAUAUAUUUUUGCAGAUCGCAUUCCGAAUGGAAUGACAACCCCGAGAAAAUAGCUCAGGCUAAUCGCAGGCUAUAUCGAGAGCAAAGGUGGCGUCGAUUGGCUCUUCUGCUGUUUGAAGUGUUGCAGUAGUAGGAGUAGGAGUGCUCGAUGUAAUCUUAGAAAUCAGGGCUUCAAAUUAAUGUUCACAUUGCCGAAACUUAACUCCACUUAUGCAAAUUGGCUUCAAAUUAAGGGCAAAGCUUAUGCAUUGGCAGAAUUUAGUGGACUGUUUUUCAGAUGUUGCAGAGCUUAAUUCUCGAGGUAUAGAGGUUCUCUAAUGUUUGUUAUUAUUUAAAACGUUGAAAGAAUCAGGCCACGUUUAUGAAACACAAGGGUACGAAGCUCUAUUUUAUUAAAAUGCUAGGGAGCUGGGCUGGAGGAACUGUUCUAUUGGGAAAUUUGCCCCUUUCAUUUCAUCUAUCUUCAACUUGCUUUAUCAAUGUUAUGUAUUAUGUUCUCUCUUUUGCCCUAGCCAAUUGGUAUCAUCUAGU